rnacentral:rRNA from 1 species
UACGGAGGGUGCAAGCGUUAUCCGGAUUCACUGGGUUUAAAGGGUGCGUAGGUGGGCAUGUAAGUCAGUGGUGAAAUCUCCGGGCUUAACCCGGAAAGGUCAAUCGAUACUGCGGGGCUAGAGUGCAGAAGGGGCAACUGGAAUUCUCGGUGUAGCGGUGAAAUGCGUAGAUAUCAGGAGGAACACCGGUGGCGAAGGCGGCUAUCUGGACAGAGUCUGACGCUGAGGCGCGAAAGCUAGGGGAGCAAACAGG